AAAAAUGAUGAUUCAAUGCGCAGAAAUAAAAAUCAAAGUCGUACUACUACGUAGAAUGAUGAUACUGGAUGUCAUCCUUGAACUGAUUUUUUUUUU
rnacentral:snoRNA from 1 species